rnacentral:rRNA from 1 species
GACGAACGCUGGCGGCGUGCUUAACACAUGCAAGUCGAACGGAAAGGCCCUGCUUUUGUGGGGUGCUCGAGUGGCGAACGGGUGAGUAACACGUGAGUAACCUGCCCUUGACUUUGGGAUAACUUCAGGAAACUGGGGCUAAUACCGGAUAGGAGCUCCUGCGGCAUGGUGGGGGUUGGAAAGUUUCGGCGGUGGGGGAUGGACUCGCGGCUUAUCAGCUUGUUGGUGGGGUAGUGGCUUACCAAGGCUUUGACGGGAAGCCGGCCUGAGAGGGUGACCGGCCACAUUGGGACUGAGAUACGGCCCAGACUCCUACGGGAGGCAGCAGUGGGGAAUAUUGCACAAUGGGCGGAAGCCUGAUGCAGCAACGCCGCGUGCGGGAUGACGGCCUUCGGGUUGUAAACCGCUUUCGCCUGUGACGAAGCGUGAGUGACGGUAAUGGGUAAAGAAGCACCGGCUAACUACGUG